GACGAACGCUGGCGGCGUGCUUAACACAUGCAAGUCGAACGGAAAGGCCCUGCUUUUGUGGGGUGCUCGAGUGGCGAACGGGUGAGUAACACGUGAGUAACCUGCCCUUGACUUUGGGAUAACUUCAGGAAACUGGGGCUAAUACCGGAUAGGAGCUCCUGCUGCAUGGUGGGGGUUGGAAAGUUUCGGCGGUUGGGGAUGGACUCGCGGCUUAUCAGCUGGUUGGUGGGGUAGUGGCUUACCAAGGCUUUGACGGUGAGCCGGCCUGAGAGGGUGACCGGCCACAUUGGGACUGAGGUACGGCCCAGACUCCUACGGGAGGCAGCAGUGGGGAAUAUUGCACAAUGGGCGGAAGCCUGAUGCAGCAACGCCGCGUGCGGGAUGACGGCCUUCGGGUUGUAACCCGCUUUCGCCUGUGACGAAGCGUGAGUGACGGUAAUGGGUAAAGAAGCACCGGCUAACUACGUG
rnacentral:rRNA from 1 species